rnacentral:lncRNA from 1 species
CCUCUUGAUUUGGGGACUAUUGGAAUUCCUUUUGGAGUUGAGCACAGAGGAUGCAAAUUAUUAUUCACAACAAGAGAUCUCGAUGUGCUGUUAAGGAUGGAAUCUGAAAAAAACUUCUCGAUUGGCAUUUUAAAUGAACAAGAAGCCUGGAGAUUGUUCAAGAUAAUGGCAGGUGAUUAUGUGGAAAAUCGUGAAUUAGAAUCUACAGCAACAAGUGUAGCCAAGGCAUGCGGAGGUUUGCCUAUUGCCCUAACCACAGUAGCAAAGGCACUGAGAAAAAAAGAGCUGCCUGUGUGGAAGAAUGCCUUGCAAGAACUCCAAACGCCUUCAGAGGCAAGCUUCGACGAAGGAGUACCAGCAGAGGCAUACUCAACAAUUGAGCUGAGUUACAAGUACUUAAGAGGUGAGCAACUCAAGAAAACUUUUUUACUGUGUAGUCUAAUUACACCAACUUAUAUUAUGGACUUGUUCAAAUAUAGCAUGGGCUUGGGUGCAUUUAAAAGUGUUAAGAAGCGUGGAGAUUGUUCAAGAUAAUGGCUGGUGAUUAUGUUGAAAAUCGUGAGUUAGAAUCUACAGCAACAAGUGUAGCCAAGGCAUGCGGAGGUUUGCCUAUUGCCCUAACCACAGUAGCAAAGGCACUGAGAAAAAAAGAGCUGCCUGUGUGGAAGAAUGCCUUGCAAGAACUCCAAACGCCUUCAGAGGCAAGCUUCGACGAAGGAGUACCAGCAGAGGCAUACUCAACAAUUGAGCUGAGUUACAAGUACUUAAGAGGUGAGCAACUCAAGAAAACUUUUUUACUGUGUAGUCUUAUUACGCCAGCACCAAUUAUGGACUUGUUCAAAUAUAGCAUGGGCUUGGGUGUAUUUAAAAGUGUCCAUAAGCUAGAAGAUGCACAUAAC